rnacentral:tmRNA from 1 species
GGGGACGUUUUGGAUUAGACAGAAUGUUCGGUGGAAACAGAUUGCGGGUCCGAGAGCUGUUCUCGGUUAUCAACGGGCAAAACAAAUUAAAUGCUGACAAUGUAAUUGAAGCAGACUUUUCUAGAAGAGCAGUUGCAAAAGCUGCCUAGUCUGUACAGCUACUCAUAGAGCCCAGCUUGCCGGUUUUAUGGGUCCAUUAUGCAAGCGGCAAUACGUUGAUAACGGUAGGCGUACCAAGAAAAACCGUUAAGGGUUAGUGUUUCCUAAAAAAACACUUUGGACUUUUUUAAAGGUUUUGAUAUUCCCUAAAAGUCUGAGCAAAUUAAUAUCUACACUCGUAGAAGUCUGUUGAAAUCCUUUUUGGACAGGGGUUCGACUCCCCUCGUCUCCACCA